rnacentral:rRNA from 1 species
GACGAACGCUGGCGGCGUGCCUAAUACAUGCAAGUUGAGCGCUGAAGGUUGGUACUUGUACCAACUGGAUGAGCAGCGAACGGGUGAGUAACGCGUGGGGAAUCUGCCUUUGAGCGGGGGACAACAUUUGGAAACGAAUGCUAAUACCGCAUAAAAACUUUAAACACAAGUUUUAAGUUUGAAAGAUGCAAUUGCAUCACUCAAAGAUGAUCCCGCGUUGUAUUAGCUAGUUGGUGAGGUAAAGGCUCACCAAGGCGAUGAUACAUAGCCGACCUGAGAGGGUGAUAGGCCACAUUGGGACUGGGACACGGCCCCAACUCCUACGGGAGACACAAGUAGGGGAUCUCCGGGGAUGGACGAAAGUGUGACCGAGCGACGCGGCGUGAGUGGAGAAGGUUUUCGGGUCGUAAAACUCUGUUGGUAGAGAAGAACGUUGGUGAGAGUGGAAAGCUCAUCAAGUGACGGUAACUACCCAGAAAGGGACGGCUAACUACGUG